CCUACGGGAGGCAGCAGUAGGGAAUCUUCCGCAAUGGACGCAAGUCUGACGGAGCAACGCCGCGUGAGUGACGAAGGUUUUCGGAUCGUAAAACUCUGUUGUGAGGGAAGAACAAGUACCAACUAACUACUGGUACCUUGACGGUACCUCACCAGAAAGCCACGGCUAACUACGUGCCAGCAGCCGCGGUAAUACGUAGGUGGCAAGCGUUGUCCGGAAUUAUUGGGCGUAAAGCGCGCGCAGGCGGUCCCUUAAGUCUGAUGUGAAAGCCCACGGCUCAACCGUGGAGGGUCAUUGGAAACUGGGGGACUUGAGUGCAGAAGAGGAAAGUGGAAUUCCAUGUGUAGCGGUGAAAUGCGUAGAGAUGUGGAGGAACACCAGUGGCGAAGGCGACUUUCUGGUCUGUAACUGACGCUGAGGCGCGAAAGCGUGGGGAGCAAACAGGAUUAGAUACCCUGGUAGUCCACGCCGUAAACGAUGAGUGCUAAGUGUUAGGGGGUUUCCGCCCCUUAGUGCUGCAGCUAACGCAUUGAGCACUCCGCCUGGGGAGUACGGCCGCAAGGCUGAAACUCAAAUGAAUUGACGGGG
rnacentral:rRNA from 1 species